UAUAUUUAUGAGGGAGGGGGUGACCUUCUCAGCCUUUACAAGUUCAAAAUGUGAAAGUCAGUGGCGGUUUCGUUAAACAAAUUCAAUUUGGUACGUCACAUGUAACUUGCAAGUCAAUAAUUCAAACUGGAUUUUUUAUUCGUUGGAGCUAUUGUUGACAAUUGGUUGGGAAUUUAAUUCUAGUUCUAGAUAGAAACUAGGAGACCGUGAUGCGGCAUCAAAGAGAUUAUGUUUGAGCUAGGACCGGAAAAGCUUAGCUGGUUGAUGUCAAAUAGAGCAAUCUCAUGAUGGGUUGGGUUGGGUGUGCAUCAACACUGAUGGAGCGCACUCACGAGAAACUUUGUGGUGGUGUGAUUUGUGGGGAUGGAGUUUGGUUGAAAUCCUAAAUAAAAUUUAGACUUUAUUGUAGAUGAUCUUUCUUACUAAAGUUUGUUUGGUCAAGCUAUCAUUUACCCUAAUUCAACAUUAAUUUUUUCCUCCAUUGUGAUAACAUUAAAUCUUUUUAAGUGGUUAAGCGUUCUCUUUCUCUUUAUUUUGAAAAAGGAAAAAGUAGAUUUGCCUCUUCUCUCAUUUCUCCUCUCAUCGCCUCCUUUCAAUUUCAUCAUUGGAAACCUGAUCGUUUUCACCAGUGAAUUGAGUUUCUAUGCGACUGGAGGCUAGGGAUUGCACUUCAGAAUUUUAUCGGAAUGGUUUUGAAGGUGUGUGUAUUUAUGUGAUGCAAUCACAGAAGGACUCUUCUAUUUAAACCUUUUGUUUCCAGAUUUUGUCUCUGAUAUUGACUUGAUGUGUGCUUAAUUAUUCAGAGCUGGUUCAAGGUAAUUUUAUGCAUAAUUUGGAGCGAGAUCGAGGUGAUUUUCUUGCAUAAUUUAGAGCUGGUUUUCUGCAUGUGGGCUAAUGUAAUGCAGCAGCAGUGUUUUGGUACUGCAGCUGCUACAUAGUGGCAUUUUUUCCUCCCUGUGUUCUGAUUUGUCUAUUUGUGUUCCAGCUGCAACAUAUUGGUUUUAAUUUCUUCUCUUUGCCUUGGUCUUCAUGUGUUUUGGCUCAAUUUACAAAAAAAAUUACUGUGUCAAUUAUAUAAUUUUAGUAUAUGACUAUAAUUUAUGGUGGUUCAAUCUGUCUCGAAGAAUGAUGCUGAAGAAAAUGAAGCUGACAUAAUAGAAUAAUUUAUACACCUCUUAUUGUAAAUUAUUUAUAUCAUCUAGCAAUAUAAUUUAUAUGAUAUGAUGCAUGUGUAUUAAGAAUGGUUUUGGAGACGGAACUGGAACUUUACUCAUGGGCAUGUAUUUUAUAAUGCUACUAUAGUCUUCUUCCAAAAUAUAUGCUUAUGGAAUGUCUUUCUUUUUUUUCAUAUCCAUAUGUGUGCUUAACUAUUCAGAGCUGGUUCAAGGUAAUUUUCUGCAUAAUUUGGAGCGAGAUCGAGGUGAUUUUCUGCAUAAUUUAGAGCUGGUUUUCGGCAUGUGGACUAAUGUAGUGCAGCAGCAGUGUUUUGAAUGAUGCUGAAGAAAAUGAAGCUGACAAUCUAGAUGCAAACUUAUUGACUAUGUCUAAUGAAAAGGCACUUGAGAACCCUGUAAUCGAGAGUGCAGAUUCAACCAAGUCUGACAAUAGGCAGAGUGAUAAUAACCAAACCGUCAUUGAGACUAACCGUGUAGCAAAUUAAGUGGCAAGCAGAUCGUUGAUAUUGUAGGCUCUACCAAGCUUGGAACUGAAUUGGGGGAUAACUCAACCUACAAAACACGGAAAGUGAAAUGCACUAUGUAACAGCCCGAUUUUUAGCUAGAUUUAUUUUAAUUACUUUUAA